CAGAGGUGAGGAAUCACGCAGCCUCCAGCCCAUCCAGCUGCUGCUGCGCCUUCUGUGCUCUCCUAUGGGAGAAAGCGGGGCUGCCCACCGGUGGAUGGCUGGGCGACUCCUCUGGGGCCCUCCGGUGUAACAGAAACAUCCCCUGAGAAUGGGAGCGUCGGCGAAGACUCAGCAAACACUGAACUGAUUAAUUAGUGCUGUGGCGAUCCGGGGGAGGCCUUUAUCUGAAGAGCAGUUCAACCAUUAGCAAAGGAAACUUCCUUGUGCACCAGCAGCUCAGAUAACAAGCAACUACUUCAUCACGGUAGUGAGAGUCAACGUUGUUCUACGUGCUUCACAGAUACUGAUGUGUCUCACCUCAACAACUCUACGUGACAGGAGAUCCCAAGCCAUUUUUCCUGCUAAAUUCCUCAGAACAUCUACCUCUGAUCAUCUGAUGGUGGAUCCGUCAAAGCGACUAACUGACCCGCGGGGAAUAGAUCCCGAAGCCUCAAUCCCUCAGCCGUGAAGGAAAUGUCACAUCCAUUAUGCAGGAAAGUUGGCAGGGCACUGGGGCUCCGCGACCAGAAGAACUUGUUCAGCUAUUGCCUGAACAUUUAUGGAGAGGCUCAUGCGCGCAAAGCCCUGGGGC